rnacentral:rRNA from 1 species
AAUAGAUACCCAGGUAGUCCACGCCGUAAACGAUGGAUGCUAGCUAUUGGGGGGAAUCGACCCCCUCCGAAGCGAAGCUAACGCGUUAAGCAUCCCGCCUGAGUAGUACGAGCGCAAGCUUAAAACUCGAAGGAAUUGACGGGGACCCGCACAAGCGGUGGAGCGUGUGGUUUAAUUCGAUGGUAAACGAAGAACCUUACCAAGGUUUGACAUCCCGGUAGCCGUUCUCCGAAAGGAGAAUUUCAUUUAGUUGGACCGGUGACAGGUGAUGCAUGGCCGUCGUCAGCUCGUGUCGUGAGAUGUUGGGUUAAGUCCCGCAACGAGCGCAACCCUUAUGAUUUAGUUGGAUUUUUCUAAACAGACUGCCCUGGUAACAGGGAGGAAGGAGGGGAUGAUGUCAGGUCAGUAUUUCCCUUACACCUUGGGCGACACACGCGCUACAAUGGCCGGUACAAUGGGCAGCUAAGCCGCGAGGUGGAGCAAAUCCCAUCAAAGCCGGUCCCAGUUCGGAUUGCAGGCUGAAACCCGCCUGCAUGAAGCCGGAAUCGCUAGUAACCG